rnacentral:ncRNA from 2 species
GACGGAGACGGCGAUGAGGCUCGCCCUUGACCGCACACCCCGUGCUGAUGGCCUCUGUGAACGA